rnacentral:rRNA from 1 species
AGAUUGAACGCUGGCGGCAGGCCUAACACAUGCAAGUCGAGCGGUAGAGAGGUGCUUGCACCUCUUGAGAGCGGCGGACGGGUGAGUAAUGCCUAGGAAUCUGCCUAGUGGUGGGGGAUAACGUUCGGAAACGGACGCUAAUACCGCAUACGUCCUACGGGAGAAAGCGGGGGACCUUCGGGCCUCGCGCCAUUAGAUGAGCCUAGGUCGGAUUAGCUAGUUGGUGAGGUAAUGGCUCACCAAGGCGACGAUCCGUAACUGGUCUGAGAGGAUGAUCAGUCACACUGGAACUGAGACACGGUCCAGACUCCUACGGGAGGCAGCAGUGGGAAUAUGGACAAUGGGCGAAAGCCUGAUCCAGCCAUGCCGCGUGUGUGAAGAAGGUCUUCGGAUUGUAAAGCACUUUAAGUUGGAGGAAGGUUGUAACUUAAUACGUUGCAACUUUGACGUUACCGACAGAAUAAGCACCGGCUAACGUCGUGCCAGCAGCCG